AUGGGCUUUCCUCGAUCUCUCUGGCCUUACCAUCAUUAAACGAAACCUAUAAACGUUGGAGCUGAUUCCUGAUGUCCGGAUUUGGGGCUCUAAAAAGCUAUACUAUUUGAGCAGUAAUCUGUCUGAUCAAUUCCCUUUGUUCAGUUGCUGUAACAUCUUGGGCUGUGUUGGAUUCUCUCCUUAACGUAGCCAAUGUUCUUGCAAUGGUUUCCUCUGUUGCUCUCAGUUUUGAGGCGACAUCGUUUUGUAUGGUAGUUCUAAGGUUCGCUACACCUUCCUGUAUGGCCGGCAUAGCGCCUGUCAACAUUGUGAUUGACUGGGACUGUUCCCUUAGUAUGGCAUUCAUCUCACUUACCUGGGCGUUGGGGUUGUUAAUGUGCUCCGUUAAGUUUGCUAUCCUCUGAUUACACAUUAUGACUUUUUUCUUUACCCUAUCCAUCAUAGCUGGAUAAACACAAAUUACGUUACGUUAAAUUACGUUACAAACACAAUAAUAUUUAAAGCUCGAAAAUGAUUUCGAUCUAUACACUCGUAUUUUGUACUAGGAAUCAGAACUGGAAAAAAAGCCAAACAUGAUACUGCACACAAAAUGAUGGUUCACAUGUUGGUUGGAACCCCGAAUGAUGUCCCCAGAGAAACACUCUCGAGCUACUGUGAAUGGCUGAAACAACUUGGAUUUCUGGACGACGAAUUUCACCAUCAGAACCAAUUCCUUCUCCACCAUCAGAACGAAGUCCUUCUCCGCCACCAGACCAUGUUUGGAUGGUACAGGAUUGGAUGAUGACAGUUGUUCCUCUCUACGAGUACUGCGGGAUGUUUGGUACCGACAAGGGGCAUACUUGGAGUUGCAGUAAUGGAGACCGUCUUACUUUUGAUAGGGUUUAUUUUUCUUUAAACAUUUUAUUAAAAACAUUGUUUGGUUAUGUGUUUUUUUAUCAGACCAUGGAAAGAAGAAGAAAAAGGCUAAACUAAGCAUUGCUACAGCGAAAAUGUCCCAGAUCCUCAAAGCGGAACCUCAUUAUCAUUAUUAUUGAGUUCACGUCGGUUCCCGUUUGUAGGAUAUUGCACAUUAAUAUGCAAUACCUUUCUCUCCUCCGUCCACUGUGUACAUUGUGCAAUCUAGCAAUAAUGUUUCUAUCUGACAAGCACCGUUGUCUGCUAUCUUUUCUUUCCA